AUAUUUUUUACAAUAACACAUUCGACAUGUACUUCCAAGAGUACACACCAACCGUUAUUUUCAAAGCGAAUGUGUAGAGUGAAAAUUUCAAACAAUAAAGACAAUAAUCAAAUGGAACGGGAUUUUAACGUAGUGCGCAAUUUGGAAGUGAUAAGAGUGAUUUAUUUUUCAACUUGUCCAUCUCCGUAGUAUACGUUUAGUUGUGAGAUGUUAACAGUUUCACCCAAAAACAGGCCUUCACGUGCGAAGUCAAAUUGGGUGGGGAACGCGACUACUUGUGUAUUUCGAGUCGCUGGAACUGCAUAAUGAAGCUGAUUUUGUGCAAUAUUCAACGACGUUACCAGCUGUGUGUUAGACGAAACGAAAAUGCUUUGGUUUUGCAUCGUGUUUUGAGACUGUCUGGGUUACAUGAUGGAUUAAUUGCUGUUUGACUGACAAUAAAGGAACAUAUGUUUGUGUUUGGAGAUUGGUGAGGUUAAUAUCUUCACAAUUGGGAAAUCCCAACAUAAGGUGACUACCAGUCUGACCACUGAUCUGCAUAAUAUCAGUGGGAGCGCAUACUGAAUCCCGCAGCUUCUGCACCAUAUGUUUCCUGGCCGAAUGGUUGAAAGUUGCGACCACACAUUCCAUGGGUGAUGAUAUCUACCAAAAUUCUUGGCGGCACAGUUCUACCCUCGUCAGUUGCACUGGUCUGAGUCUUUCUCUGCCUCUCAACCAACUCGAGAUAUUCCCCCCCCCCAACUGCAUCCCGGCACAGCUUCACAUCAACCCAUCUAAUUAAUUUGUCGGAAAAGUAAUACUUUUUUGUCGACAAAUUUAUUUUUGAGAGUAUUUAUGUUAUUGUUUUAUCUGAACAUGUUAUUAAUCUAUAUGUCACUAUAGUUAUAAAGUUUAAAUUUUAAUACAAAUUAUAUAUCUGGAUUUUUAUUAUUAAAGCAGUUGUGCAAUGAGUGUUUGAUGGUGUUUUUUUCUAAAGGAUUCUUUAUUUUAUUUUCAAGUUGACUACACAAAUUUCCUGUUUGGUUGUGGAGAUAGAACCAUUUUUUGUGAAAGUUUGAGAUGUUGAGUCAAUAUUUGUCAUAAAUUCUUCUUUAAAUUGAUCAAAUCUGUCAUUUUUUUAUUUAAAAUGUGUUAAGUAUAUUUGUGUUACGUUAAAUGUUUAUCAUAACUGUUUUAAAUUGUGUUCAUCUGCAGCCAAUGAAUGGUAGCGGUUCACAUUUGUAUUUGUUUAUUUUUUUUCAUUGAUUAAUGCUCAUUUAAUUAACAUUUCCCUAUAGAUAUACUUAAUAAAAUGUUAGUUUUGUUUAAAAAAAACAACUUUUUGUUUAUUUAUGUUCUUACUUCUGAAUAAAAUAUGAAUCGCU